rnacentral:misc_RNA from 1 species
AAGUCGUAACAAGGUUUCCGUAGGUGAACCUGCGGAAGGAUCAUUAUCGAACGAAUGUAGAGUCGGUUGUCGCUGGUCCUUUCGGGGACAUGUGCACGCCUUCUCUUUCAUCCACACACACCUGUGCACUUGUGAGACGGAAGCCCUCGGGCGUCCGUCUGCUCUACAUAAACUCAUAUCUAUAAUUUGAAUGUAAUUGAUGUAACCACAUCUUUAAACUAAGUUUCAACAACGGAUCUCUUGGCUCUC